GAUGAACGCUGGCGGCGUGCCUAACACAUGCAAGUCGAGCGAUUCUCUUCGGAGAAGAGCGGCGGACGGGUGAGUAACGCGUGGGUAACCUGCCCUGUACACACGGAUAACAUACCGAAAGGUAUGCUAAUACGGGAUAACAUAUGAAAGUCGCAUGGCUUUUAUAUCAAAGCUCCGGCGGUACAGGAUGGACCCGCGUCUGAUUAGCUAGUUGGUGAGGUAAUGGCUCACCAAGGCGACGAUCAGUAGCCGACCUGAGAGGGUGAUCGGCCACACUGGAACUGAGACACGGUCCAGACUCCUACGGGAGGCUG
rnacentral:rRNA from 1 species